CGACAGCUGACCAUGUACUGAUAGAAGGAGCCAAGGCUCUCCGCUCCCCCACCGUCCAGGCCUGGUGAGGCCCAAGGCGCUCUGGGGAGAUGAAGUUGGGCUGCCUCUCCUUCCGCCAGCCUUAUGCAGGAUUUGUGUUAAGCGGGGUCAAGACUUUGGAGACACAUUGGCGUCCUCUGCUGAGCAGCCACCGGAACCGGACCAUCGCCAUCCACAUUGCCCACAGGGACUGAGAAAACACCGCAUGGAGGGAGCUGCUGGCGGAGAGGCUUGGCAUGACCCCUGCUCAGAUUCAGGCCUUGCUUCUCUGGAAGGGCUUGUUGACAUUGGGGAAACAGAUGAGGUUGUGGAACUGGAGAACCAAGCUGUACUGAGCAGCCUGCAGCGGAAGUACCUCACCACGCUUUCAAACCCCAGGUGGUUACCGGAGCCCAUACCCAGGAAAGGCGGAAAGGAUAUCUUCCAGGUAGAUAUCCCAGAGCGCCUGAUGCCCUUGGGGCAGGACGCCUGAGGAGUGUGGAAGGUUCCCGAGAAAGCAGCGAAAUCGUGACCCGUCGACUGACCGUCGUGCCGCAGACCCACAGGCCAGGUUCAGUCUGAACCGGCCCUGCCACUGUUGGAGGAAACAGGUUCAUCAGGUGGAGAAAAGUCUUCAAGCUGUUGGUUUCGAAGAUUCUGUCUGCACCUUGGCGGUGAAGAACCUCCCUCUGGAAAAGGUCUUUGUCGACGAUGAUCACGGUGGCCCUGGCAUGUUUUCAGCGCACUGAUGUGAAAGCGUUGUCCUCCAGAAUCAUCCAAAGCUUUCUUGGGAAGGAAAGCCCAAGAAAACUAUUGUUUUCUCCCA